AUUGAACGCUGGCGGCAGGCCUAACACAUGCAAGUCGAGCGGAUGAAGGGAGCUUGCUCCUGGAUUCAGCGGCGGACGGGUGAGUAAUGCCUAGGAAUCUGCCUGGUAGUGGGGGAUAACGUCCGGAAACGGGCGCUAAUACCGCAUACGUCCUGAGGGAGAAAGUGGGGGAUCUUCGGACCUCACGCUAUCAGAUGAGCCUAGGUCGGAUUAGCUAGUUGGUGGGGUAAAGGCCUACCAAGGCGACGAUCCGUAACUGGUCUGAGAGGAUGAUCAGUCACACUGGAACUGAGACACGGUCCAGACUCCUACGGGAGGCAGCAGUGGGGAAUAUUGGACAAUGGGCGAAAGCCUGAUCCAGCCAUGCCGCGUGUGUGAAGUAGGUCUUCGGAUUGUAAAGCACUUUAAGUUGGGAGGAAGGGCAGUAAGUUAAUACCUUGCUGUUUUGACGCUACCAACAGAAUAAGCACCGGCUAACUUCGUG
rnacentral:rRNA from 1 species